rnacentral:tRNA from 1 species
AUUUUUCUAAUAUAAUAAGUAUAACUGACUUCCAAUCAGUUAGUCUGGGCCGCCAGGAAAAAUA